rnacentral:rRNA from 1 species
UACGAAAGGUGCAAGCGUUACUCGGAAUCACUGGGCGUAAAGCGCACGUAGGCGGACUCGUAGGUCAAUUGUGAAAUACCCGGGCUCAACCCAGGAACUGCAGUUGAAACCGCUUGUCUUGAAUACCUGAGAGGGUGGGGGAAUACCUGGUGGAGAAGUGAAAUUCGUAGAGAUCAGGUGGAACACCGGAGGCGAAGGCGCCUGCCUGGCAGUGUAUUGACGCUGAGGUGCGAAAGUGCGGGGAGCAAACAGG